CUGUCGCUUUAAAAGUUAGAUCUCAGUCUGGCAUUUGCGUGAAAAGGGCGUCUACUUUUUAUUAUUUUUCUAGUUUGGUUAUAACUAAAUCGCAAGAGCCCUGGACCUGACUGUCACUGUAGUCAAGGAACAUCUCAAGCGUUCAAAUUGCGCUCUUCAAAACUAGCGUGUAAGAAAUCGCUAAUGAAAUAAAGUCACGUUUUUCACGGAGCUGUCAGUCGCAAAGCUGCUUUAUUUGCCUUUUGUUUGAAUUACAAUGAAGCGACACGGUUGAUAUAUAUACGAUAUUUGCCCUUACGGCUUAAGAACAGGUAAUGACUCAACAAAUUCCGAGCAUUCCCCGCACGCACAAUUGUCUCAGUAUCUCAGUCUGCACGAUUUGCGGUUUAGUCAGUGCGCCGGGGCCAGUGGUUUACAACACAGGCAAACCGAGUGAGGUAACUUCGGAAAGAACUUUUUUGUUCUUGUCGAAACACCUUUGUCACGCCUUCGAUGUCAAGCUGUCACCUCUAGAGGAAACCAGUAAAACUCCGAACACGUGAAAAACACCAAAACAAUAGAGUGGAAUGUGUGGAGAAUUCACGCGUUACAAAAUUGUCUGCGCUGGCUCACUAUGUCCUUUUACACUUGUCGUCGUCGAAGCUUACAGACUGCGGUGACAGCGAGUUUGCAGUGAAGGUGAACUAGCUGUCAUUCAAAUGUCUUUGUUUUCAUACAACGAAGUAUAUGAAGUUGUCGUGAUCGGAAAUGGUCCCAAUGCACUGAGUUUGUCUUACCUGUUAUCUGGAAAUGAGCCAUACUACAUUCCUCACCAGCACCCAAAUACCAUUCUUGACCAGAAACUGUACGAGGAGUGUGGAAAAUCAUUGCUGGACAGUGUAAGUGAUAUCCUUGUUACUAGAUAAUCAUUGGGUGAUAUUUCCAGAAAAUAUGCACCCCUUACCACAAGCAGCACGAACAUUUUGCCCCCAGAUUUUAUUGGUUUUCUUCUGUAAAUGAACGUGAAAAUAUGCAUAAACAAUCGAUGCUCGUCUUGUAUCUUGCUUUCCAUGGUCGUCAGCUGUGUCAUGAGUUUGCUCGUGCAUUCAUACUCUCCUCUUUCCCCUCU